rnacentral:rRNA from 1 species
UACGGGGGGGGGCAAGCGUUGUUCGGAAUUACUGGGCGUAAAGGGCUCGUAGGUGGUCAACUAAGUCGGACGUGAAAUCCCUCGGCUUAACCGGGGAACUGCGUCCGAUACUGGAUGACUUGAGUUCGGGAGAGGGAUGCGGAAUUCCAGGUGUAGCGGUGAAAUGCGUAGAUAUCUGGAGGAACACCGGUGGCGAAGGCGGCAUCCUGGACCGACACUGACGCUGAGGAGCGAAAAGCCAGGGGGAGAACA